rnacentral:rRNA from 1 species
CCUACGGGCGGCAGCAGUGAGGAAUAUUGGUCAAUGGACGAGAGUCUGAACCAGCCAAGUAGCGUGAAGGAUGACUGCCCUAUGGGUUGUAAACUUCUUUUAUAUGGGAAUAAAGUGUUCCACGUGUGGGAUUUUGUAUGUACCAUAUGAAUAAGGAUCGGCUAACUCCGUGCCAGCAGCCGCGGUAAUACGGAGGAUCCGAGCGUUAUCCGGAUUUAUUGGGUUUAAAGGGAGCGUAGGUGGAUUGUUAAGUCAGUUGUGAAAGUUUGCGGCUCAACCGUAAAAUUGCAGUUGAAACUGGCAGUCUUGAGUACAGUAGAGGUGGGCGGAAUUCGUGGUGUAGCGGUGAAAUGCUUAGAUAUCACGAAGAACUCCGAUUGCGAAGGCAGUUCACUGGACUGCAACUGACACUGAGGCUCGAAAGUGUGGGUAUCAAACAGGAUUAGAUACCCUAGUAGUC